AAGAGAAGAGGCUGUCAGCUUAGCCAAGGAGACUGCCUGGCAACCAAACAGUAGAGCUUUUCUAUAGCUACUCGAAACCCUCUUGCAUGACGCAGGCAAGUCAUCCUUGGCUAACAAACAUUUCUCCUCUCU
rfam:Citrus clementina cultivar Clemenules unplaced genomic scaffold scaffold_2, whole genome shotgun sequence.